CGCAACUGACAACUCUGAGUGAUUAAUACAAUCUGGCUAUAGUGGUUGUUAUGCUGCAUGCAGCAUCUCAUAAAACUUUUUAACCUCCAUAUUUGGAGUCUCCUCCACAUAAUUUUGAGCAUCCCUAUUUUGAUAAGUAUCCACAUUGCUAUUAUAAACAUCUUCAAAAUUUGGUGCAGCAGCAUAAAAAAUCAUGACUUUAUAUCUACUGGUUUGCUCAUUAUUGCCCAAUUGAUCACCACUAGGAGCAC
rnacentral:lncRNA from 1 species